CCGGCGCACGGGUGAGUAACACGUAUGCAACUUACCUAUCAGAGGGGGAUAACCCGGCGAAAGUCGGACUAAUACCGCAUGAAGCAGGGGCCCCGCAUGGGGAUAUUUGCUAAAGAUUCAUCGCUGAUAGAUAGGCAUGCGUUCCAUUAGGCAGUUGGCGGGGUAACGGCCCACCAAACCGACGAUGGAUAGGGGUUCUGAGAGGAAGGUCCCCCACAUUGGAACUGAGACACGGUCCAA
rnacentral:rRNA from 1 species